UACGUAGGGGGCAAGCGUUGUCCGGAAUUACUGGGCGUAAAGGGCGCGUAGGCGGCCUUCUAAGUCGAACGUGAAAUCCCCGGGCUCAACCCGGGAACUGCGUCCGAUACUGGGAGGCUUGAAUCCGGGAGAGGGAUGCAGAAUUCCAGGUGUAGCGGUGAAAUGCGUAGAUAUCUGGAGGAAUACCGGUGGCGAAGGCGAAUCCCUGGAAAAUACCUGACACUGAG
rnacentral:rRNA from 1 species